rnacentral:rRNA from 1 species
ACUCCUACGGGAGGCAGCAGUAGGGAAUCUUCGGCAAUGGACGAAAGUCUGACCGAGCAACGCCGCGUGAGCGAUGAAGGUCUUCGGAUCGUAAAGCUCUGUUGUCAGAGAAGAACACGUGAUAGAGGAAAUGCUAUCACCUUGACGGUAUCUGACCAGAAAGCCCCGGCUAACUACGUGCCAGCAGCCGCGGUAAU